AAACAGGAUUAGAUACCCUGGUAGUCCACGCCGUAAACGAUGUCUACUUGGAGGUUGUGCCCUUGAGGCGUGGCUUCCGGAGCUAACGCGUUAAGUAGACCGCCUGGGGAGUACGGCCGCAAGGUUAAAACUCAAAUGAAUUGACGGGGGCCCGCACAAGCGGUGGAGCAUGUGGUUUAAUUCGAUGCAACGCGAAGAACCUUACCUGGUCUUGACAUCCACAGAAGAAUCCAGAGAUGGAUUUGUGCCUUCGGGAACUGUGAGACAGGUGCUGCAUGGCUGUCGUCAGCUCGUGUUGUGAAAUGUUGGGUUAAGUCCCGCAACGAGCGCAACCCUUAUCCUUUGUUGCCAGCGGUCCGGCCGGGAACUCAAAGGAGACUGCCAGUGAUAAACUGGAGGAAGGUGGGGAUGACGUCAAGUCAUCAUGGCCCUUACGACCAGGGCUACACACGUGCUACAAUGGCGCAUACAAAGAGAAGCGACCUCGCGAGAGCAAGCGGACCUCAUAAAGUGCGUCGUAGUCCGGAUUGGAGUCUGCAACUCGACUCCAUGAAGUCGGAAUCGCUAGUAAUCGUGGAUCAGAAUGCCACGGUGAAUACGUUCCCGGGCCUUGUACACACCGCCCGUCACACCAUGGGAGUGGGUUGCAAAAGAAGUAGGUAGCUUAACCUUCGGGAGGGCGCUUACCACUUUGUGAUUCAUGACUGGGGUGAAGUCGUAACAAGGUAACCGUAGGGGAACCUGC
rnacentral:rRNA from 1 species